UACGUAGGGGGCAAGCGUUGUCCGGAUUCACUGGGCGUAAAGCGCGUGUAGGCGGCGCGUCAAGUCGGGUGUGAAAGCCCGGGGCUCAACCCCGGGAUGCCGCUCGAAACUGGCGCGCUUGAGGACGGAAGAGGGGAGUGGAAUUCCUGGUGUAGCGGUGAAGUGCGUAGAGAUCAGGAGGAACACCCGUGGCGAAGGCGGCUCCCUGGUCCGUCCCUGACGCUGAGACGCGAAAGCGCGGGGAGCGAACGGG
rnacentral:rRNA from 1 species